rnacentral:rRNA from 1 species
ACUCGAGUGGCGAACGGGUGAGUAACACGUGGGUGAUCUGCCCUGCACUUCGGGAUAAGCUUGGGAAACUGGGCCUAAUACCGGAUAGGAGCCAUCUUUAGUGUGGUGGUUGGAAAGUUUUUCGGUGUAGGAUGAGCUCGCGGCCUAUCAGCUUGUUGGUGGGGUAAUGGCCUACCAAGGCGGCGACGGGUAGCCGGCCUGAGAGGGUGUACGGCCACAUUGGGACUGAGAUACGGCCCAG